rnacentral:tRNA from 1 species
GCUUUCGUGGUAUAAUGGUCAGCACACUCGACACGUAAACGAGAGAUCCGUGGUUCGAUUCCUGGCGAAUGUG